AACCGGCGCACAAGGUCAAUCCCCGAUAUGUCAAACCACAACCAGCGACAACUGUCACGCAACGUCAGCCGAGUGUCUAACCUGACGGCGGGUUUCUCCUCCGACAGCGGCUAGCUACCAGGCUAACCAGACAGCUACUCCACACAUAUCCUUCCCCAAUUACUCCAGCUAACAGUUUGUAGUUUGAAUUAAGAGCUAGCAAGAGAGCUAAGCCUUCAGCAAUGAUGGGUGCCCACAUUACUGACUAGCAAAAAUGCUAGUGGGCUCGUUGACAUUAGCCCACAGAGGCUAGCAAGCGUUAGCUAACUUUUUCCCCCCCAGGAUGGCCCGACCUGUUUUCUUCGUCUGCGUUUCCUGAUGCUGGCGCUGGAAGUGGCUCUGAUCAUUUUUCAGAGCGGCUGUGCGAUGGGUCGAGUGUCUGUCCUCCCCGCGCUGCUCGUAGUGUCUGUCUUUUGCCCGAUCUCUGGGCUGAUCCUCCAUUGAAGUGUGGAGACUCGCUCAGCUCAGUGCAUUAGCUCAGUGGGGAAGCCCUGGAGCCAGAGCUCUGUGUGGUCAUGGUGAGCACCGUUGUGAUGCCCAGUCCCACUCGGGCCGGAGCCGCAUCCAUGUUGAUCCAGAAGGAAACCCAGGACAGGAUGACGGUGAGCAGGCUCGGAAAGACGAGGUGAAGAUGAGUGAUACUGAAGAAAGGAGGAAGAAGUGACUGCUGCGUCAGUGUCAUUCAGAGAUACUAUGGUGGUAAGUGAGGC